ACGGUUAAAUCACGCUGAAACACCGGUUCUCGUUCGAUCACCGAAGUUAAGCAUCGUAGAGCCAGGUCAGGGACCGCUUGGGAACACCUGGUACUGUAA